rnacentral:rRNA from 1 species
AUUCCAAACGAACUUGGAGAUAGCUGGUUCUCUCCGAAAUAGCUUUAGGGCUAGCGUCGAUGUUAAGUCUCUUGGAGGUAGAGCACUGUUUGGGUGAGGGGUCCAUCUCGGAUUACCAAUCUCAGAUAAACUCCGAAUGCCAACGAGAUAUAAUCGGCAGUCAGACUGCGAGUGCUAAGAUCCGUAGUCGAAAGGGAAACAGCCCAGACCACCAGCUAAGGUCCCAAAAUAUAUGUUAAGUGGAAAAGGAUGUGGGGUUGCACAGACAACUAGGAUGUUAGCUUAGAAGCAGCUAUUCAUUCAAAGAGUGCGUAAUAGCUCACUAGUCGAGUGACCCUGCGCCGAAAAUGUACCGGGGCUAAAACAUAUUACCGAAGCUGUGGAUGACACGUUAGUGUCAUGGUAGGAGAGCGUUCUAUGUGUGAAGAAGGUGUACCGUGAGGAGCGCUGGAACGCAUAGAAGUGAGAAUGCCGGUAUGAGUAGCGAAAGACAGGUGAGAAUCCUGUCCACCGUAAGACUAAGGUUUCCAGGGGAAGGCUCGUCCGCCCUGGGUUAGUCGGGACCUAAGGAGAGACCGAAAGGUGUAUCCGAUGGCCAACAGGUUGAUAUUCCUGUACUAGAGUAUAUAGUGAAGGAGGGACGCAGUAGGCUAACUAAAGCGUGCGAUUGGAAGAGCACGUCUAAGCAGUGAGGUGUGAUAUGAGUCAAAUGCUUGUAUCUCUAACAUUGAGCUGUGAUGGGGAGCGAAGUUAAGUAGCGAAGUUAGUGAUGUCACACUGCCAAGAAAAGCUUCUAGCGUUAAUUAUACUCUACCCGUACCGCAAACCGACACAGGUAGUCGAGGCGAGUAGCCUCAGGUGAGCGAGAGAACUCUCGUUAAGGAACUCGGCAAAAUGACCCCGUAACUUCGGGAGAAGGGGUGCUGACUUAGGUCAGCCGCAGUGAAUAGGCCCAAGCAACUGUUUAUCAAAAACACAGCUCUCUGCUAAAUCGUAAGAUGAUGUAUAGGGGGUGACGCCUGCCCGGUGCUGGAAGGUUAAGAGGAGGGUUUAGCGUAAGCGAAGAUCUGAAUUGAAGCCCCAGUAAACGGCGGCCGUAACUAUAACGGUCCUAAGGUAGCGAAAUUCCUUGUCGGGUAAGUUCCGACCCGCACGAAAGGCGUAAUGAUUUGGGCACUGUCUCAACGAGAGACUCGGUGAAAUUUUAGUACCUGUGAAGAUGCAGGUUACCCGCGACAGGACGGAAAGACCCCAUGGAGCUUUACUGCAGUUUGAUAUUGAGUAUCUGUACCACAUGUACAGGAUAGGUAGGAGCCAUUGAAGUCGGGACGCCAGUUUCGACGGAGGCGUUGUUGGGAUACUACCCUUGUGUUAUGGCUACUCUAACCCGGAUAGGUUAUCCCUAUCGGAGACAGUGUCUGACGGGCAGUUUGACUGGGGCGGUCGCCUCCUAAAAGGUAACGGAGGCGCCCAAAGGUUCCCUCAGAUUGGUUGGAAAUCAAUCGCAGAGUGUAAAGGUAUAAGGGAGCUUGACUGCGAGAGCUACAAC